CGGAACAUGUCCUGUAGUGGGGGAUAGCCCGGCGAAAGCCGGAUUAAUACCGCAUACGAUCUGAGGAUGAAAGCGGGGGACCUUCGGGCCUCGCGCUAUAGGGUUGGCCGAUGGCUGAUUAGCUAGUUGGUGGGGUAAAGGCCUACCAAGGCGACGAUCAGUAGCUGGUCUGAGAGGACGACCAGCCACACUGGGACUGAGACACGGCCCAGACUCCUACGGGAGGCAGCAGUGGGGAAUUUUGGACAAUGGGCGAAAGCCUGAUCCAGCAAUGCCGCGUGUGUGAAGAAGGCCUUCGGGUUGUAAGCACUUUUGUCCGGAAAGAAAUCCUUGGUUCUAAUAUAGCCGGGGGAUGACGGUACCGGAAGAAUAAGCACCGGCUAACUACGUGCCAGCAGCCGCGGUAAUACGUAGGGUGCAAGCGUNAAUCGNAAUUACUGGGCGUAAAGCGUGCGCAGGCGGUUUGNUAANACCGAUGUGAAAUCCCCGGGCUCAACCUGGGAACUGCAUUGGUGACUGNNAGGCUA
rnacentral:rRNA from 1 species